rnacentral:misc_RNA from 1 species
UACCGAAGCGGGCGGGAGGCUUGCAGGGCGCAUGCGCGCGGGGGCGCUGGCGUCGCGAGCGAGUCAGUCCUAUGCGCGUCUCCGAGCCUGUGUUACUUGUGUUCCGUUAGCCCGUCUAACUGACGCACUCAUCGCAAACGAACUCUAUGAAAUAAUAAUGAAUUCGCAAACCGGCCUACUCGCUAUGGUGGUUCGAUAGUUGUUUGUGUAAUAACCUGGGCUUCAGUGUCGUCGAGGGCAGCGGGCACCGGCGGACCGGUCCACACAGGGAGGCUGCGCCGGUCUCACGCCCGAGUACAGUGGAAUGCGGCAAUUUUAACUACUGCGGACUUGGACACCCAUUCCAGAACAGGGAUCAAAUAUAUAUUGCCCAUCCAAUAAGGUGAUGCAUCAAGAAUGAGUCGCCGAGCGCGGCCGUGACAUGGGAGCGCAGGCAUGGGCUGGCGCGCCGUGCAACCGCCGCACAUCGCCGCCGGCUUGCUUCUUCUGCUGCUAGUCAACCUACCAGUGACGUGCCACCAAGACCAUCAAGAUGCUGUUCACAUCACGGCUAUCCUCGGCGAGAGUGUCGUUUUCAACUGCCAGGUGGACUUCCCCGAAGACAUCCCGGUGCCGUACGUGUUGCAGUGGGAGAAGAAGGUAGGCGAAACGGGACAGGACAUCCCAAUCUACAUCUGGUACGAAAGCUAUCCGACUCAUAGCGGGGAGGGGUACGAAGGCAGGGUAUCGCGCGUCGCUCCCGACUCACCAUAUGGAGCGGCCAGCCUCAACCUCACCAAUAUCCGCGAAUCUGAUCAGGGUUGGUACGAGUGUAAGGUGGUGUUCCUUAACCGUUCGCCAAAUCAACACAAGAACGGCACAUGGUUCCACUUGGACGUGCAUGCGCCGCCGCGCUUCUCCAUCACACCGGAAGACAUUAUAUACGUUAAUUUAGGAGAUGCCAUCAUUCUCAACUGUCAGGCGGAGGGUACGCCCACGCCUGAGAUCCUUUGGUACAAAGAUGCGAACCCCGUAGAACCAUCGGGCACGGUAGGCAUAUUCAACGACGGCACCGAGCUCCGCAUCAGCAACAUCAGACACGAGGACAUCGGGGACUACACGUGCAUCGCUCGCAACGGGGAGGGACAAGUGUCGCACACCGCGCGGGUCAUCAUCGCCGGAGGGGCCGUCAUUACCAUGCCGCCAACAAACCAAACGAAAUUAGAAGGUGAAAAAGUGCAGUUCUCGUGUGAAGCAAAGGCUCUGCCUGGAAACGUAACAGUAAAGUGGUUUCGAGAAGGCGCGCCCGUCGCCGAAGUAGCUGCCCUGGAGACCAGAGUGACUAUCCGACGAGACGGAGCGCUCGUCAUCAACCCAGUGGCCGCGGACGACUCAGGACAAUAUCUGUGUGAAGUAUCGAACGGCAUCGGGGAUCCCCAAAGCGCAUCGGCCUAUUUAAAUGUUGAAUAUCCAGCGAAAGUAACGUUCACUCCGACUGUACAGUAUUUGCCCUUUCGAUUGGCGGGCGUGGUACAAUGUUACAUAAAGGCGAACCCACCACUGCAAUACGUGACGUGGACGAAAGACAAGAGGUUGUUGGAGCCGUACCAAACGAAGGACAUUGUCAUUAUGAACAACGGUUCACUGCUUUUCACUAGAGUCAAUCAGAAUCAUCAGGGCCGGUACACUUGCACGCCUUAUAAUGCACAAGGGACCCAAGGAUCUUCAGGUCCGAUGGAAGUUUUAGUACGCAAACCUCCGGUAUUCACAGUGGAACCAGAACCGUUGUAUCAAAGAAAGGUGGGUGAAUCAGUAGAAAUGCAUUGCGAGGCACAAGAGGCGGAGGGCACGCAGCGGCCGAGCGUGACGUGGCGGCGGCGCGACGGGCUGCCGCUGCAGAAGAGCCGCGUGCGCGCGCUCGGCGGCAACAUCACCAUCGACACGCUCCGCCGCCAGGACUUCGGCAUCUACCAGUGCGUCGCCUCCAACGAGGUGGCGACCAUAGUGGCGGACACGCAGCUCGUGAUCGAGGGCACACAGCCGCACGCGCCCUACAAUGUGUCGGGGACAGCCACUGAGUUCCAAGUAACGCUGCGCUGGCAGCCGGGGUACGCGGGCGGGCCCGACUACAAGCAAGACUACACCAUUUGGUACAGGGAGGCUGGCUUUUCUGAGUGGACAAAGGUUCCUGUCACCCCGUCUGGUGCUACUUUCGUAACAAUAAAUCGCCUGCAACCAGGAACUACGUACGAGUUUCAAGUGAACAGCAAGAACACGAUAGGAGAAGGGAUGAUGAGCAAAGCUAUUACGAUAAGAACUUUGGAUGUAGGAGCUAAACCAAAGGUGGCACCCACACCCUCGGGCCCUGUAGACAGAACUUUAUUUCCGGUUGCACCCGAAGGCUCUGGUCCGAAGCCGGGGUCCCCUCGCAACCUGACGGUGACGGAGGUGCACAACGGGUUCCUCAUCACGUGGCAGGCGCCGCUCGAGCGCGCGCACCUCGUGCAGUACUACACCAUCAAGUACCGCACCGACGCGCAGUGGAAGACGCUCAACCGCGGCCAGAUCCGGCCCGAGGAGACCAGCUAUCUAGUGAAAAAUCUAGUCGGCGGGCGCACCUAUUACUUCCGAGUACUGGCCAACUCGGCGACCAGUUACGAGAGUUCGGAGGAGGUUAAGUUUCCGGUGCCGGCGCGCGUCAAACACAAAGCGAUCACGGCGGGAGUGGUGGGCGGCAUACUGUUCUUCAUAGUCGCUAUUAUACUGUCUGUGUGCGCGGUGAAGAUAUGCAACAAGCGCAAGCGUCGCAAGCAGGAGAAAGAAAUUAUUCGAUUACAGCAUACAACAUGGUAGCCGCGAGACUGACCGACCUCCGCGCAGCCGACAGCACUCAAGUGCCUUUUAAAAAAUUUAGAGAACGCGGAAUAUCGAGUAUAGUGCAAUGUUUGCGAUUCACGGCUAACUGGGUGUGGCCGGCGUCACGAUGCGGCGGCGAGACGCAGUACUGGGUGGCGGCGCACGUGUCGGCCGCGUCAUCGAGCUCGCCGGCGCCGUCGCUGGCGCCUUCGUCCUCGGAUGACGGCGGGUUCCUGCCGCGGCUGCGCGCGCCGCUGCGCCCGUCGGCUGCGCCACCACUGUUCCGCGCCUCGUCGCCGGCGCUGGCGCUGCACUGGCCGCCGUGGCCGCCGUGGCCUCCGUGGGCCGCCGCCUGGACGCCGUGGUCGCCGCUACACGUUUCCGACCUCAGCUCGGUGCCAUUUCCCAGUUCUGCGGACGGCUCAUUUCCGACGCCGCCUUCGCCAUUUCGACUGCGCUCACUGCGACUGGGCGCCGCUGAGGCAGGCAGAGGCAUCGCGGGUGCGC